CUCUCUCCUCUCUCUCUCUCUCCCUCGCCCCUUUCCUUUCCACUGCCACCUUGCUCCUCUUUCUGUCAAUAAACCUCACAUGGAAAUGUUUGGCCUGAUGUGGUCUCCAGAAGCCACUGGAAGAUCACAGCAUGUAUUAUGGCGGAUGGCGGCAGAUCACUAAUCAUAAUAAUUUUGUGAGAAUUGUCAACUUAAAGCAACUACAAAAAAUUGGAACACAGACCACCAGCUAUGUUUUGUAACAGUACUAGCUCAGAUCCGGGAGAUUUCUACCAUCAUCAUGGAGACAGACUCCACCUUAGGAGUCCGAAGCCUGAAUGAAGCCUAAGACACAACAGUCAGCUUUAGCAGCUAUAUCUCUCAGGCAGUUGAGAUGGCUCAGUGAUUGAAACCCUGGCUGUCAAGCCCCAUGACCCAAAUUUGAUCCUCAUUAAAGCUCCACAUGGUGGGAAAGAGAACAGAUUCAAGUUGUCCUCUGACCUCCAGACAAUGAAGUAGGUGGUAUGUUCCAGGUCAUCUAUGGGCCACGCCCAUGGCCAAUGGCUCCUUCCAUCAAGGACACACA